rnacentral:lncRNA from 1 species
CAUAUCCACCCGCCAUCUACAGAAUCACAAACACACAUGCACGUACAUACCCAUACCACCCGCUAUCUACAGAAUCACAAACACACAUGCACGUACAUACCCAUACCACCCGCUAUCUACAGAAUUCAAGUAUGUCAAUACAAAUGCAAAUGCACUUAGUGACCCAGUUAAAGAUUCAUACAUUAUUAAAAUCAAAUUCCAUACUAUUUAUAAGUCAUAUUUAAAAUAUAAAAAUAUAGAAUGAUUUUCAAAUGUAUUAAAAUACGUAAGAGACAAGCCAGGCUUGGUGGCACAUGCCUGUAAUCCCAGCAACUCAGGAAGCAGAUGUGGGAGGAUCACUUGAAAUCAAGAGCUCAAGACCAGCCUGGGCAACAUAGCCAAACUCUAUAAAGAAAUAAAAACAAUUAUCUGGCUGUGGUGGCACACACUGCUUGAAAGAUUGAGGUAGGAGGGUCUUUUGAGCCCAGGAGUUCAAGGCAGCAGCAUAGUGGAAAAAAAUACACACACACACAUACACACACACACACACACACACACGUGAAAGAUACACAGUGCAAAGUCUCACCAAAGUUACUAUAGCUGUAUCAUAAUGUUGAAAGCAUACAUCAACGAAGGAAAACAUUUCAUUUUGAUAAAAGUUCAAAU